rnacentral:rRNA from 1 species
CCUACGGGCGGCAGCAGUGGGGGAUAUUGCACAAUGGGGGGAACCCUGAUGCAGCGACGCCGCGUGAGUGAAGAAGUAAUUCGUUAUGUAAAGCUCUAUCAGCAGGGAAGAAUAAAUGACGGUACCUGAGUAAGAAGCCCCGGCUAACUACGUGCCAGCAGGCGCGGUAAUACGUAGGGGGCAAGCGUUAUCCGGCUUUACUGGGGGGAAAGGGAGCGUAGACGGCGAUGCAAGGCAGUUGGGAAAACCCCGGGCUCAAAUGCGGUAGUGCAUUUGGAACUGGCUGGCUGGAGUGCAGGAGAGGCAAGCGGAAUUCCUAGUGUAGCGGUGAAAUGCGUAGAUAUUAGGAGGAACACCAGAGGCGAAGGCGGCCUGCUGGACUGUAACUGACGUUGAGGCUCGAAAGCGUGGGGAGCAAACAGGAUUAGAUACCCUGGUAGUC